CCUACGGGUGGCAGCAGUGGGGAAUAUUGCACAAUGGGCGCAAGCCUGAUGCAGCGACGCCGCGUGCGGGAUGGAGGCCUUCGGGUUGUAAACCGCUUUUGUUAACGGGCAAGGCACGGUCUUUGGCCGUGUUGAGUGGAUUGUUCGAAUAAGCACCGGCGACCUACGUGCCAGCAGCCGCGGUACUACGUAGGGUGCAAGCGUUAUCCGGAUUUAUUGGGCGUAAAGGGCACGUAGGCGGUUCGUCGCGUCUGGUGUGAAAGUCCAUCGCUUAACGGUGGAUCCGCGCCGGGUAGGGGCGGGCUUGAGUGCGGUAGGGAGGACUAGAAUUCCCGGUGUAACGGUGGAAUGUGUAGAGAUCGGGAAGAACACCGAGGGCGAAGGCAGGUCUCUGGGCCGUUACUGACGCUGAGGAGCGAAAGCGUGGGGAGCGAACAGGAUUAGAUACCCUAGUAGUC
rnacentral:rRNA from 1 species